UGUUUGAUGUUCUAACGUUGACCCGUAAUCCGGGUUGCGGACAGUGUCUGGUGGGUAGUUUGACUGGGGCGGUCUCCUCCUAAAGAGUAACGGAGGAGCACGAAGGUUGGCUAAUCCUGGUCGGACAUCAGGAGGUUAGUGCAAUGGCAUAAGCCAGCUUGACUGCGAGCGUGACGGCGCGAGCAGGUGCGAAAGCAGGUCAUAGUGAUCCGGUGGUUCUGAAUGGAAGGGCCAUCGCUCAACGGAUAAAAGGUACUCCGGGGAUAACAGGCUGAUACCGCCCAAGAGUUCAUAUCGACGGCGGUGUUUGGCACCUCGAUGUCGGCUCAUCACAUCCUGGGGCUGAAGUAGGUCCCAAGGGUAUGGCUGUUCGCCAUUUAAAGUGGUACGCGAGCUGGGUUUAGAACGUCGUGAGACAGUUCGGUCCCUAUCUGCCGUGGGCGCUGGAGAACUGAGGGGGGCUGCUCCUAGUACGAGAGGACCGGAGUGGACGCAUCACUGGUGUUCGGGUUGUCAUGCCAAUGGCACUGCCCGGUAGCUAAAUGCGGAAGAGAUAAGUGCUGAAAGCAUCUAAGCACGAAACUUGCCCCGAGAUGAGUUCUCCCUGACUCCUUGAGAGUCCUGAAGGAACGUUGAAGACGACGACGUUGAUAGGCCGGGUGUGUAAGCGCAGCGAUGCGUUGAGCUAACCGGUACUAAUGAACCGUGAGGCUUAACCUUACAACGCCGAAGGUGUUU
rnacentral:rRNA from 1 species